CGGGAGCAUGAAAAUAUAUCGUUGCAUCGCGAAAUUCGUUAAUUCUGGGUUCGUUAAAUCGUGGCUCGACUAUAUUCCUAAAAGUAAAAUUUUAAAAAAUAAAUGGACUUACUGGAAACUGAUAUACAAAACAUACUUAUUUGCAUAUAAAAUCUGCAAACAUACAAUAAAAAACAAGUAUUUAAGAAAACUUAAACAAUACCAUUAUGGGUAAGGGAUCAGAAUAUACCCACCGAUUGAUAUCGAGCAGUGGCGUAACAAGGGGGGAGCGAAAUGGGGUUCCAGACAGCAACGGACCUCCGAAGACUUCUGAAGACGGGGUUUUCAGAGUCAGGGUUCUCGGGACGGUCUACCCCUCCCCCAGGCCCAGGAGGAGUCCCACCCGUCCUUUCCUGGUCUUCCACCCGUCCCCACGGGAGGGGUGGAGGUUCAGAAAGCAGAGUUUCCUGCAGCAGAAGUCUUCCCCUAGAGGGCCUCUGAUCUAGAGGAUCUCCGAAGAACAGCAUAUUAACAAGAUUUAUAAGAUAUGUGUUUGUUUGCUAGAUAUAAGUUGUUUUUUCUUUAUUCUUAAGAUCUUUUGUUUUCA
rnacentral:lncRNA from 1 species